GGCUUUUGUUUUUUUUUUUUAAAAGAUUUUACUUAUUUAUUCAUGAUAGUCACAGAGAGAGAGAGAGAGGCAGAGACACAGGCAGAGGGAGAAGCAGGCUCCAGGCACCGGGAGCCCGACGUGGGAUUCGAUCCCGGUCUCCAGGAUCGCGCCCUGGGCCAAAGGCAGGCGCCAAACCGCUGCGCCACCCAGGGAUCCCCUCCCCGAGGCUUUUAACCACUGUGAGGGACUGUGCUUUCGGGAAUCUAAUUUUCUAUGUGUAUCUCUCCCCGCGCCGCCCGGAAGGCUUGACUUUGGAGCCCUGCUGGACAAGGCGGCUUGGCGUGGACGUUUGCACCCGAGGGAUGUGAGCUGGACAGAGUUUUAGAGGUGACAGCUUAACUCCGAGCUUCCUACGUACAGGUUCCAUGUGCAUCAUCUAGUCCUGUUGAAGGUCUGAAGUGCUUAUAAAACUCAUGACAAUGUACAGCUCUGCAUUCAGUGCUCGUGUUUGAUCCUUUCCAAAUUAAAUAUAUGCAGAUUUUCAGACCAGCUAUGUGAAGUUAAGUACCACCAAACAUAUGUUCUACAAUAUGGCUAGUAUUUCUGUAAGUUAGUGGACUCUAUAGGAUAGUAGAAUGUGUUAUCUUUACCAAAGUCACUCAUUUCUUUUGCACUAUGUCUACCAAGGGCAGUUUAUAGAAAGAUAAUAUCUGCUAAGUAUGACUGAUGAUAUACAAAAAAAAAAAAAGAACCUUUUCAAGAAGUCAGAAAAAGGAAAACAAAAACAAAGUAAAAUGACAGAAAUAAUAUUAAGAGCAGGAAUGAAUGAAAUGGGAAACAAAAGCAAUGUGGGAGAAACCAUCUGUUACUGGCUCAGAAGAAUCAACUGUGUAUACCUCUCCCCUACUCCAUGGCCACUAACAUGAAAUUAGUGGCUUGAAAUUGCCCAUGAUGAUAUAAUAUUCACUCUAUGGAAAUCAACAUAUAAAAAGAAAGGGUCUUGGAUGACUUCUGAGUUGAAAAAAAGAAGUAUAUUUAAAUUUUUAAGUUUAUACAUAGUGAUAAAUAUGUAAAAUAAAUAAAACUUGACUGAGUUACAAAGAAAAAAGUAUAAUUCUGUCAGGUUACCUUAAUAAGCCUUCUCAGUGAUUUUUAAGACAAGAAAAAUCAGUAAGGAUACAGAAAAUUUGAAUAUGAAUAAUAAACUUGACCUAAUGAAUAUACACAGAACACAACCAAAAUUAGAAUAUGUUUUUUGAAAGCAAAACAUCCCCAAAUCAACCACAUCCUUAGCUGUAAAGCAAGUCUUAAUAAAUUUUAAAGAUUGAAAUCAUUCAGCAUGUUUUUUGACCAUUACACAACUAAGCUAGAAAUCAAUAAAGAAUUAUAACAAAUCCAUAUAAAUCCUGGUCAGAGAAGGAGUCAUAAUGAUAACAAGAGAUGAACAAUAAAAUACAACAGUGAUGCCUGUGGGAUGCAGCUAAAACAAGACAUAGAGGAAAAUUUAUAGCCCAAAAUAUAUUAGAAAAGAGGCUUAAAAAGUCCUUAGCUAAACAUCCCUUUUCAGGAAGUCAGAAAAAGGAAAAUAAAAAGUAAAAUGACAGAAAUAAUAUUAAGAGCAGGAAUGAACAAAAUGGGUAACAAAAGCAAUGUGUGGGAAACCAUCUGUUACUGGCUCUGAAGAAUCAACUGUGCAUACAUUUCCCCUACUCCAUGGCCACUAACAUGAAAUUAGUGGCUUGAAGUUGUCCAUGAUAAUAUUCACUCUAUGCAAAUCAACAAACAGGCUGGUGUUUUGUUUUGGUAUGUUCAGAGCCAAUCCUCUAGCAGACCACAGCACACAAUGAUUUAAAAAUCCGGAAGUUUUUUUUUUUUUUUUCUUAAGAGAAGACUAGUAAUUUUAUUAGUCUAUUAGUCAAUUUUGAUAAAUAUCUUAGUAUUGAACAAUAAAAGAUUUAACCUAUUAUCAAUAAUGAAAGCUAUAUACGUCAAAAAAGUUAGGACAUCUUAUAAACAAUUUAACAUUUAGACAAAAAAAAUUUAGACAAAUGCACAAAUUUCAAGAAAAGCAACUGGCUUACUCAAGAAUAGAAAAUAUGAAUCUUCUUAAACCAUAAUUUAAAUCAGUAGGAAAGAAUCUUCACACGCAAAUUCCAGGUCCAUGUCACCACCAGCGGUUUCCUCUAAACUUUAAAAUAAUUCCAUCCUUACUGUAUGAGGCUGCCAUAACCUGUGCUGAUUACAAAAUCCCCACACUUCAGAAACACCAAACUCUGGAACUCAUUAGGUGAAAAAUGUGGCUUAGUGAUAGGAAGCUCUUUAUAGUCAUUAUUUAUAUAUUAGUUAGGUAACAUAGGUUUUGCUACAGAAAUAGUAAUGUUUAAAUAUUGGUUUUUGAGUAUAGGUAGUCUCCCAGUUCUUUUUGAGAAUGUUACAUAAAUAUGUUGUAUGUGUUCCAUAGUACCUUUCCAAUGUCCAAAGAACAAAACACAUCUGGCUCCAAGAAUGUCAGAGAAAAUGCAUGGACCUACGGAAGAAUAUUUUUAUGACUUUGGGGUCAAGAAAAAAAAAAUUUUAGCCAUAAAGGAAAAGAUCAAUAAAUUCAGCUACAUUAAAAUUAAGAACUUUUGUUUACCAAAUAAUACCAUAAAGCAAGUGGAAAAGACAAAACCACAACGUGGAAGUUUGUAAGACAAAGAAUUGGUACCCAGGUUAUAUAAGGAACACUUGGAGAUUAACAAGAAAGAGACAAAUAUAGUUUUUACAAUAGGCAAAAGGCUUAAAUGGGCUAGUACCAAAGAAGAAAUACAAACGAGCAACAUAAGAAGGUACAUACAUCCUUGUUAGUAACCACAAACAUGAACAUUCAGAUCACAAUGCAACACUGUUAGACACCAACCAGACCCAAUAAUAAUUUAAAAAUUAGUAACAAGUUUGAGAAGGAUGAAGAGGAAGGAUCCUCAUACACAAAUGAUACUAUAAAUUGAUACAAUUGAUACUUUGGACAAGAGUGUGACAUUUAAAGAUUAAAGAUACACAUUCACUCUGACUCAAAUUCUAUUCUGCACAGUCACUUAUACAUGUGCAUCUUUGUUAUAGCUAAAAACAACAUACAACCCAAACUUACACCAACAAUCAAAUAAAUUAUGGUAUAGUCAUAUUCUGAAAUAUGCAGCAAUGAAAGGAGCAUUUAUAGCUAUUUACAAUAAUAUGAUAUAUCUCCUAUGGAGUAAAAAGAGCAAGUCGACCAAAGAAUAGAUACUGUGUAUUUCCACUUACAUAUGGUCCAAAAACUGCGAAACUCAGCUAUCCUGGAUACAUUCGUAAGUAGUAAAAUCAUUAACAAAAGGAAAAUGGGAUAUGAUCAGGAUGAAAUGAACAGGGACCUUCUGAGGUGCUGACAAAGUUUUGUUUCUGGUCUUGGGUGUUUGUUUUAUAAUUAUUCCUUAAAUAAACUGUACAAGUGUGUUUUAUCCAGUUUUCUGUAUGAAUGAUACAUAGCUUUUUUGAAGAUUUAUUUAUUUAUUUGGGGUGGGAGAGGAAAGGCAGAGGGAGAGGGAGAGAGGGAAUCUAAAACAGACUCCCCACUGAGCUCAGAGCCCAAUGUGGGGCCUGAGCCAAAUCCAAGAGUCUGAUGCUCAACCAACUGGGCCACCCAGGUGCCCUCCUAUAUGUCACAAUUUUUAAACAAAUAGAGUAAUUGUUUAGUCUGAAAAAGGUCAUCUUUAGUAUACAGAAAGAUAAAAAUAAUGAUUGCCCAGAUCGUUUACAAUGUGUCUACUAUAUUUUUAAUAGAUUUAAUAUCUUACAUGCUCUUCUAGGUGAAAAAUCAAGAGUCCAUGCUUCACCAACUGAGAAACACAGAUUUCUCCAACGGAGCCAAAACAACUAAGGAAAGAGAAAUUUUGAGAUGCCGAUAAGGCAAAUGAACAAAAACACAAUUCUGGAUAAGAACUGCAAAGGCUAGAUUCCCCUUAUAAAAUGUGGAAGGCUGUGGGCAAGUAAGAAAGGGAGUGCCAAAAGAUGAUAUCAAAUGUGUUGUCUUGACACAUGGGAGUGUAGUCUCCCAACCUGCUUGGAGGCGAGAGGAGGCGGGGAGAAGUCAGUGGGAGGAGGGCUGUGCUGGCUCUUGCCACCCAGAGGAAAACUUCCUGUGGGUACAGCUCCAGUCAGAACUGAGUAUAUCCCUCAAAUCACUGCUGGGCAGGGCCAGACAGACCCGGGAGCGCUGAAAAUAUAGGUGCUGUUUUUUCGGUUGCUGCCCACGGACUUUUUAUUUAUAAUCUGUACUGUUUUACAAAACAGUGUCACAGACACCUACACUGGGACAGAAACUGGGGAAAGAUCCUCUGACUUCAGCGGUGCUGCAGAGACCCUUCUGAAUUUCCUUUGCAUCUCGGCACCAGCUCCUGGUCUUUUUCCUUCCGUGAACUAGAGCUAUGCUCCAAGGAGCCAUCCUUUUCCCUUCUUCAUUUUUUUCUUUGCUUGCAUUUCCUUUGCUCUGUUUUCCUGGGCAGGCUGAUUCACUCUCCUAGCUUCAGCUACCACUUCUGCCAGAAAGACCUGUGAGUCUACGUUUUUGUCCUAAAGGAAACUUUGGGCCACUUUUCUCUUUCCCAAUCCCUCUUGGACUGUCCUUCCAUUACUCCAAUAAGCUCAAAACUGGACCCAUAAUGUCCUCUCUCCAUAAGAGUUUCCCAUUCUAUACUCUUCCUUUUCACUGGUCCUUUGUCUGCCAGUUAGAAACCUGUGAAAUUUCUCUCAUGCUUCUUGCUCUAUAUUCGUAUAGCUGGCUUAUUUCAGAGACAUGAAGCACAUGCUCAGUGCCAGGCACAGUGCUAGGCUGUGGGGGAAAAGGACAAAUGAGAAUGGAUCUCAGCCUUUGAGAAGCUCAGUCUAGUGGAAGACAUAGGCCAUAGGCCAUACUGUCCUCUAACGAACCAGAGUAGGAGCUAUUGGAAAGGCAGCAAAGUGUACCAGAUAAAGGUGUAGGUUCUGGGGCCAGAUGGCUUGAAUCCUACCUCCCCUGAUGACAAGCUGUGUGACCGUGGACAGGUGACCGGAACUUUGAAUACAUUGGUUUCCUUAAUGGAGAAUGUGAAUGAUAGUAAUAUCUACCUUAGGUUUCUUGUAAAUGUUAAAUGAAAUAAUCCCUGCCAAACACUUAGAACAAUGCCUAUCACAUAAAAGGAUUUCAUUCAUUUGCUCAUUUUUUAAAAAAAAGAUUUUAUUUAUUUAUUCAUCAGAGACGCAGAGACAUAGGCAGAGGGAGAAGUAGGCUCCAUGCAGGGAGCCUGAUGUGGGACUUGAUACCAGGACCCCAGGAUCACACCCUGAGCCAAAGGCAGAUGUUCAACCGCUGCUGAGCCACUGAGCCACCCAGGCAUCGCCAUUUGCUCAUUUAUUCAGUGUGUGCCAAGCACUGUUUUAGGGGCUCGAGAGACAGCAAAGAACCACCUAGAUGAACAUGGAAUGCUCAGUCUAAAUGAGAGACAAUAAGCAACAAACAUAAAGAAAUUCUGUAUGUUAGUAUGAUAGAGAAGAGUCAUAGGACAAAGAAAAAGAUAAGUGCUAGUCAUUAAUAUUAUGAUAUUUUAGGGGUCAUUUGAUCUUGGAUUUAAAGGAAGAGAAGUGUAGAGCACCUGGGUACACAGGCAGGGACAAAUAUGUUUUAUAACUGGGAACAGGUGACUCCACUGUCAACUGUAGGGUGCAUCCUGGUGUCCAAGCUGCAGAAAUGUGGGAACAAAAAUUAGGAUGUAUAGCGGCAAUGAAAUACACUGUGCAGUCAUAGCUUGGUGGUCCUCUUUUUUGUGACUAUUUGCUCUUUGUCAGGCACCAGGCUAAACCUUUUAUAAUUAUGACCUCAUUUAAUCUUUAUAGCAACCCACUGAAGUAGGCACUCAAUUAUCCCCAUUUAAUAGCUGCAUUAUCCAAGAGAAGCAUAAGUCAAGCUACACAUGUAAUUUUACAGUUGCUAGUAGCCACAUAAACAAAGUACGACUUGGGUGAAACUAAGUGUAGUAAUACAUUUCCUUUAUCCCAAUAGAUUUAACAUAUUAUCAGUGGGGCGCCUGGGUAGCUUGGUCAGUUAGGCGACUGACUCUUGGUUUCAGCUCAGGUCCUGAUGUCAUGGCUCCUGAGGUCAAGCCCUGGAUCCGUUUCCAUGCUCAGCAGGGAGUCGACUUGGAUAUUCUCUCUCCCCUCCCCAUAUACUCUCUCUCUCUCAAAUAAAUAAAUAAAUAAAUAAAUAAAUAAAU